AUUGAACGCUGGCGGCAGGCCUAACACAUGCAAGUCGAACGGUAACAGGAAGCAGCUUGCUGCUUUGCUGACGAGUGGCGGACGGGUGAGUAAUGUCUGGGAAACUGCCCGAUGGAGGGGGAUAACUACUGGAAACGGUAGCUAAUACCGCAUAACGUCGCAAGACCAAAGAGGGGGACCUUAUGGCCUCUUUCCAUCGGAUGUGCCCAGAUGGUAUUAGCUGGGAGGUGGGGUAACGGCUCACCUAGGCGACGAUCCCUAGCUGGUCUGAGGGGAUGACCAGCCACACUGGAACUGAAACACGGUCCAGACUCCUAAGGGAGGCAGCAGUGGGGAAUAUUGCACAAUGGGCGCAAGCCUGAUGCAGCCAUGCCGAGUGUAUGAAGACGGCCUUCGGGUUGUAAAGUACUUUCAGCGGGGAGGAAGGGAGUAAAGUUAAUACCUUGGCUCAUUGACGUUACCCGCAGAAGAAGCACCGGCUAACUCCGUG
rnacentral:rRNA from 1 species